rnacentral:rRNA from 1 species
CCUANGGGUGGCAGCAGUGAGGAAUCUUGCGCAAUGGGCGAAAGCCUGACGCAGCGACGCCGCGUGGAGGAUGAAGGUCUUCGGAUUGUAAACUCCUGUCGAGAGGGACGAAUGCCGUGAGGGUGAACAAUUCUCGCGGUUGACGGUACCUCCAGAGGAAGCCCCGGCUAACUCCGUGCCAGCAGCCGCGGUAAUACGGAGGGGGCCAGCGUUGUUCGGAAUCAUUGGGCGUAAAGGGCGCGUAGGCGGCCGACCAAGUCGGAGGUGAAAUCCCUCGGCUCAACUGAGGAACUGCCUCCGAUACUGUUCGGCUUGAGUCCUGGAGAGGGUAGUGGAAUUCCCGGUGUAGCGGUGAAAUGCGUAGAGACUGGGAAGAACACCAGUGGCGAAGGCGGCUACCUGGACAGGUACUGACGCUGAAGCGCGAAAGCUAGGGGAGCAAACAGGAUUAGAUACCCUUNUANUC